rnacentral:rRNA from 1 species
CCUACGGGUGGCAGCAGUAGGGAAUCUUCCACAAUGGGCGAAAGCCUGAUGGAGCAACGCCGCGUGGGUGAAGAAGGUCUUCGGAUCGUAAAACUCUGUUGUUAGAGAAGUAAGUGCGUGAGAGUAACUGUUCACGUUUCGACGGUAUCUAACCAGAACGCCACGGCUAACUACGUGCCAGCAGCCGCGGUAAUACGUAGGUGGCAAGCGUUAUCCGGAUUUAUUGGGCGUAAAGGGAACGCAGGCGGUCUUUUAAGUCUGAUGUGAAAGCCUUCGGCUUAACCGGAGUAGUGCAUUGGAAACUGGGAGACUUGAGUGCAGAAGAGGUGAGUGGAACUCCAUGUGUAGCGGUGAAAUGCGUAGAUAUAUGGAAGAACACCAGUGGCGAAGGCAGCUCUCUGGUCUGUAACUGACGCCGAGGUUCGAAAGCGUGGGUAGCAAACAGGAUUAGAUACCCGAGUAGUC